rnacentral:rRNA from 1 species
GCGUGAGUGAUGAAGGUUUUCGGAUCGUAAAGCUCUGUUGUUAGGGAAGAACAAGUACCGUUCGAAUAGGGCGGUACCUUGACGGUACCUAACCAGAAAGCCACGGCUAACUACGUGCCAGCAGCCGCGGUAAUACGUAGGUGGCAAGCGUUGUCCGGAAUUAUUGGGCGUAAAGGGCUCGCAGGCGGUUUCUUAAGUCUGAUGUGAAAGCCCCCGGCUCAACCGGGGAGGGUCAUUGGAAACUGGGGAACUUGAGUGCAGAAGAGGAGAGUGGAAUUCCACGUGUAGCGGUGAAAUGCGUAGAGAUGUGGAGGAACACCAGUGGCGAAGGCGACUCUCUGGUCUGUAACUGACGCUGAGGAGCGAAAGCGUGGGGAGCGAACAGGAUUAGAUACCCUGGUAGUCCACGCCGUAAACGAUGAGUGCUAAGUGUUAGGGGGUUUCCGCCCCUUAGUGCUGCAGCUAACGCAUUAAGCACUCCGCCUGGGGAGUACGGUCGCAAGACUGAAACUCAAAGGAAUUGACGGGGGCCCGCACAAGCGGUGGAGCAUGUGGUUUAAUUCGAAGCAACGCGAAGAACCUUACCAGGUCUUGACAUCCUCUGACAAUCCUAGAGAUAGGACGUCCCCUUCGGGGGCAGAGUGACAGGUGGUGCAUGGUUGUCGUCAGCUCGUGUCGUGAGAUGUUGGGUUAAGUCCCGCAACGAGCG